GGAUGUAGCUCAGUGGUAAAGUGCUUGCCUAGCAUGCACAAGGCCUUAGGUUCAAUCCUCAACACCA
rnacentral:tRNA from 1 species